AAAGUCGUAACAAGGUAUCCGUAGGUGAACCUGCGGAUGGAUCAUUACCAAAGAGACGGCGCCUCUUAGCCUUCGGGUAACGAGCGCCUGUCCACCCCACACUUUGUGAACUGUUUCCUGUCUCUGGCGGGUGGCUGAAAGAACACCUUGUGUGUUUUGGAGGCCUGGCUUGGGACUGGUUUCUUCGGAAACCUGGCUCAUCAGCCGAACCCGCCGAGGGGCUUCAUGGCCCCACAAUUGACAAACUCAUGCGUGAACCUUUUACCUGUCUGAACUUGUAAAACAUUUUAAAUGUGAAAACAACUUUUGACAACGGAUCUCUUGGCUCUC
rnacentral:misc_RNA from 1 species